UUGCUGCUAUUGGUGGAACAGUAAAGAAAGAGAUAGCAAUAGGAGCCUCCGUGUCUUGAUGUAAAACUCAGAAUCAGUACAGGAUAAGUAAUGUAAUGUAUUUACGAAGUUACCCAACCAAGAUAUGUUGGCAGUUAUACAUGAUGACAUUUUACAACGUUUUAGUAAAAAUGUCGGUUAAUAAGACAACUAAUCAACUUCAAUGUUUUCCAUGGUCAGACUUUUUGCCGCUCUCACCCAACAUGGGAAAGACUCUUAUCAUGUGACUGUCAUGGUAAAUGGUAACCCAUUAGACAGUGACCAUACAUGGCAUCCUUUCAGAGAUGCAUGUUUAAUGAGAACAUUAUACAUAUAUAUAGUGGCGAGUGACAAUCUACUGUAUCCAACCACACUGGGCCUGUGUCCUAGUGACCCAUGUAGAGGAACAUAUUGAUCUGCCAAUUGAAAGCAUAGAGAAAGGACAGCACCACUUACUGACGUAUGUUAGUCCGUUAUUUGGUGGCGGUGAUCGCGGUGUCAUGCCCUGGCCCAAGGGACCCCUCAAUUACCGAAAAAAUUGGAGUGCUACGGUUUUUUGAAACUUUUUCCAUAUUGAUCUGCCAGUCACACAAUGCAAUGGCCACAUUGCUUUUUUUCUCCCAAGGCAUGUAGCUAAUAGGGUGCAGAGGCCACUGUGACACGGGAGAAGUCACCCGUAUUAUAAAUGGCACAUUGUAGUGUGGGUGCCCUCUUACAGAUUUUGCACAGGGUCCUAGAAGCUUCAAGUUACUCUUGUGCAAACCCCCAUGUGUAACAUAUCCUAAUGGCAGCCAUAUUGAGAACAUACUUGCCAACUCUCCCAGGACGCCCGGGAAGCUAUUACAAUAAAUGAGAGACCUCCCGCAACCCCUGGAAGAGUUGUCAAUACUCCUGGGCACCGAGGGCUGCCCUCCAUGUACUGUAACUGAAUCUGGUGCUGGGAUUCUGCGCUAUUAGAUGCAGUCCCAACUCCCAAAAGUGCAAUGAGGGGGUGGGGCCUGAAAAAGAGGGCGUGUCAGUGGCGAAAAAUACGUGCCCCGCUUCACACACCGCAGCCUCCUAUCUCCCUGAUGUCAGCUUUCAGAAGUCGUCUAGUAUGAUUGAGAACCAUGUGUCAGCACGACCAGGGCUCCUGGUUUUGGAAGCUUUUUAUAUUUUUAUUGGAAUCAUGUUUUUUCCAGAGCUGUAAAGGUCAGAAAAGAGGUGUAUUUUUAAAUGUAAAUGUGUAAUGGCCGCCUGUUGCUAGGCAACAGCCAUGACGACAACAAAACUUUAUUGUACAAGACAGAUGUUCAAUAAUGAACAAAACCAUUGACUGUGCAUGUAGAUAUCAGGGUCCAGGACACCCGCUUCACGGCCCAAUUGCUUGUCGUGUAAGAUCCUUGAAGCCACCUUGGACUUUAGGUGCUUUCUAUGGAGACAGCAUAUCCUUGUGUACAAUAUACAUUAUUAUAUAUAUCAGCUGCACUGGGGCAAUAUCAUUUUUGUAAAACUUCUUUAAUUUGCAGCACUAAGGGGGUUAGUUCCAAGACCGAAGGUAUUUCUAGUGUGCAUGAAUCCCAUCAUCCGUGAUGACUACUGUCAUUCGGACUUGCACAACAGCGGUAUAUUGAGAGGAGUUAAUGUCGGUAUAGGCCUUGUUGGGAGUUUUUGGUCGUUGCCCAUUACAUUUCACUGAUGUCAUUGUUCAGGAUGUUCCUGAAUCGGCAGGCGGAGUACUGACUGGGGUGUGGGGUUUUGACAACUUAUGCUGCCAUCUCAGAAGUGUGCAGCGGUGGUUGCUGCCCCUGGUAGGAUUGGAAAGGGACUAAUACCCCUAAAAUAAAAUAAAUAUUUAGGAAAUGUUUAUGGCAAAUGGAGGACAAAUGUAUGUAAAGUGACCUAUGUGGAUCCCUUGUAAAAAAAAUAUAAAAAAAAAUGAAUGAACUAUCACUUUAAAUCAAGAGGGUGGUGGUUUCCAAAUAUGACAGUGAAGGAGAACAUGAACCUUGGUGGGUCAAGUUGCCACCUGGCCAGCCUUUAAAAAUUUUCAUUUAGUGGAGAUGUGUAUGUUUUAUUGCUGAUUGUUUCCACAUUAUACCAUUUGGGGGAUUUGCUUUUUAAAAGCUACCUGUAGCGGUUUCACCUAAAAUUAGGAAAUAUUUAAAAAGGUUAACCAAGAGUCAGAUAGACCUUCCAGCAUGGGCGACCCGCAGUGGAGAACAUACUUACCUGGUUCCCUGCUGCUGGGAUUGGUGUCUAACGCUCCCGAGCUGGCUCUUCUCUCCCUGUCGCGCUGAAAUCAACAUCUAUCGACAGGUGAACACGUGACCACUGCAGCCAAUCACAGGCUACAGCAGUGACCUGCUCCCCUUGCGUCACAUGACCAGUUGGCGAUUCUGAUUGGCUUUAGCCGUCAUGUUCCCCCUACCCACGUUGACAUAUGUUGAUUUCAGGGAGCUUAGGAGAGGAAGAGCCGGCCCAGGAGCUUCAGACACCACACCCAGUGGCGGGGAACAGGUAAGUAUGAUCUCCACCGAGGGUUGGGACAGACCUCCACUCUGGGAGGUCUGUCUGACUCUUGGAUAACCCUUUUAAGGGGUGUUCCAGUGUUACCAAAUUAAAUAUAUUAUUUUUAUUUAUUAUUUGCCCUAAUGUAUCCUAGUGGCAGGAAUAAUAAAGUACUGCAAAAAUUCACCCAUCUCGAGUGUUAGCUACGAAGACUUUUUAUAGAUCCUGCAAGCAUGAAGAGCUGCUUACAUGGGUUGGGGGGGGAGGCAGAUUUGUUGCGGUCAUCCUCUCAAGCCAAACGUAUUGCUGAAAUGUAUGCUAGAUAUAUGCAAUUGUUCUACUGCAACGUGUUGAUGCGAUUUCUCCUUUUUGUGUUAUGCAAUCAUUUCCUGCUGCCCGCAGUGGUGGGCUGAUCUCUGUGCUGUGGUGAGCCGUGUUUGCUUCUGUAUAAACCUUAUCGGCGGUUUGGAGCUUCCACUUACUAUUGUGCACAUCCUCUUCCCCUUGUCUUCCCCAAACCUCUUUGGAAUAUAUUUUUAUAAUAAAAGCUUUUUUUUGUAAUAAAAUAAAAUAAUACUUAUUUAAACAAA